GACGAACGCUGGCGGCGUGCUUAACACAUGCAAGUCGAACGAUGAAGCCGGAGCUUGCUCUGGUGAAUUAGUGGCGAACGGGUGAGUAACACGUGAGUAACCUGCCCUUGACUCUGGGAUAACUGCGGGAAACUGUAGCUAAUACCGGAUACGACCCUCGGAGGCAUCUCCUGGGGGUGGAAAGAAUUUCGGUCAAGGAUGGACUCGCGGCCUAUCAGCUAGUUGGUGAGGUAACGGCUCACCAAGGCGACGACGGGUAGCCGGCCUGAGAGGGGAACCGGCCACACUGGGACUGAGACACGGCCCAGACUCCUACGGGAGGCAGCAGUGGGGAAUAUUGCACAAUGGGCGCAAGCCUGAUGCAGCAACGCCGCGUGAGGGAUGACGGCCUUCGGGUUGUAAACCUCUUUUAGCAGGGAAGAAGCGAAAGUGACGGUACCUGCAGAAAAAGCACCGGCUAACUACGUGCCAGCAGCCGCAGUAA
rnacentral:rRNA from 1 species